UGGGGAAUAUUGCACAAUGGGCGCAAGCCUGAUGCAGCGACGCCGCGUGCGGGAUGGAGGCCUUCGGGUGUAAACCGCUUUUGUUCAAGGGCAAGGCACGGCUUCGGGCCGUGUUGAGUGGAUUGUUCGAAUAAGCACCGGCUAACUACGUGCC
rnacentral:rRNA from 1 species